rnacentral:tRNA from 1 species
GACACGAUGGCCGAGUGGUUAAGGCGAUUGACUCGAAAUCAAUUGGGGUUUCCCCGCGCAGGUUCGAAUCCUGCUCGUGUCG